GACGAACGCUGGCGGCGUGCCUAAUACAUGCAAGUCGAGCGCAGGAAACUGACAGAACUCUUCGGAGGGAAGGCAGCGGAAUGAGCGGCGGACGGGUGAGUAACACGUAAGGAACCUGCCUCAAGGAUUGGGAUAACUCCGAGGAAUCGGAGCUAAUACCGGAUAGUUCAUCGGACCGCAUGGUCCGUUGAUGAAAGGCGCUCCGGCGUCACCUUGAGAUGGCCUUGCGGUGCAUUAGCUAGUUGGUGGGGUAACGGCCCACCAAGGCGACGAUGCAUAGCCGACCUGAGAGGGUGAUCGGCCACACUGGGACUGAGACACGGCCCAGACUCCUACGGGAGGCAGCAGUAGGGAAUCUUCCACAAUGGACGAAAGUCUGAUGGAGCAACGCCGCGUGAGUGAUGAAGGUUUUCGGAUCGUAAAACUCUGUUGUAAGGGAAGAACACGUACGAGAGGGAAUGCUCGUACCUUGACGGUACCUUACGAGAAAGCCACGGCUAACUACGUGCCAGCAGCCGCAGUAAAAC
rnacentral:rRNA from 1 species